CCCGGGUUGACGCCAUUCUCCUGCCUCAGCCUCCCGAGUAGCUGUAGCUGGGACUACAGGCGCCCGCCGCCACGCCCGGCUAAUUUUUUGUAUUUUUAGUGGACACGGGGUUUCACCGUGUUAGCCAGGAUGGUCUCUAUCUCCUGACCUCGUGACCCGCCCGCCUCGGCCUCCCAAAGUGCUGGGAUUACAGGCGUGAGCCACGGCGCCCGGCCUGACAUUUCUAAUAGUGCAUGUAUUAAGAUGAAGAAGGAGGAGGAUUGGAGAACUGAGUAAAGGAAGAGGAGGACGAAGAAAGAAAAAGAAACCGAGGGACCAUUUUAAAUAAAAGAUAAAUCAAGAGAAAACUGUCUUACCAGAUUGCAUUCCCCAAAGUGAGGGCAGUCCAGAGUGGCACACCAAAGUAUUUCUGAUGCCAGAACUUCACCAUCAGAGACAGCAGUCCUCUUCCCUGGCCUGGACAAGAUCCCCAAGGUACUCACAAUACUUCUCAUGGAUUGAGGCAUGAAAAGGUCUCCUGAUGAAGGACUCAAGUUGGUGGAGAAGCUGAUCGUCCACCUCGAUCUCACUUUUUCCAGUGUAGAAAUGAUGCUAGGCAUUGAAAAUUGUAAGAGGAGAGGAAUUAGACUCCCAUAUGCAAGAGGAAAGGAAUUAGACCAACAUUCAAAGAGAAGAAUGCUAAAGGAUUUGAAAAUAUAUUUUAAAACCACCAUAAAAAGCGUCACAAAGGAUAUAUUUUUGCACUCCGUAGAGAAUGUGACCUACAGGAUCCACUAGCAAAAGAAAUCUGACUGUUAGAGGUUAAAGGAACAGUAAAGAUCUAGUUCCACUUUUGAAUCCUGCAGAUGGGAAAUUUGAAACUUGGAGAGUUAGUGGUUUUCUCCAAGGUCACAUCAAGACAGAAGUCAAGCCAGGAUAAAAAUCAAGGGAAAAACAGUGACAUGGUGGGAGAAGUGUUCCCAAACUCUGAAUGCAAGGCCACAGAAACAAGAGAGAUGGCAGCCUGAGAAGGACUCAUCUUUCCUCUCCUGUCUAUCAUUGGCUUUGAAGAUGGAAAAAGAAGGACUUAAGCUAGGGAAUGUGGGUCAUCUUUAGAAGUUGUAAACAAGAAAACGAAUUCUCCCACUGAGCCUCCAGAAAGAAAUGCAGGCCUACUAGCACCUUGAUUUUAGGCCAGUGAGAUUCUCAUAGGAUUUCUGAUCAACCGUGCUGUAAGAUAAUAAAUACUCUUUUUAAAUUCACUAAUUUUGUGGUAACUUGUUAGAGCAACCAUAGAAAUAUGUC
rnacentral:lncRNA from 10 species